rnacentral:lncRNA from 1 species
CUCUGGUUGAUGUUUUGGUCUCAGUAUAGUUUAGAAAUACCAGCAGAUUUGCUGCAACUUCAAAAUUCGGUCUGCUCAUUCUUCUGUGUGUUGCACAGGUUGUGUAUUUGAACACACACACAGAAGGCGGGGAAAGAGGCAAAUACAGGAUAUGUGUCUUCACGGAGGCAGUGCGUCAUUGUCAGGCACUCUUUUAUCCUCUUAGCUGUUUCACUGUUGUCAUCAGUGGCCUCAUGCUCAGAGAGUGACCCACAGCCUAUUUGUGUUGGAAAUACCUGCUUAGCUGUCACACUUGCUUAUCUGAGGUGGACUGGUAUGCCUGGCACCAUCUGAGCAUUUGAAGAUGAUGCGAUUGCUGUUCCUGUGUCUGCUGCUGCUGCUGCCAGCUGCUGCGGCUGUUUCAGAAGAUGUGGAGGGAUCAGCUACUGGCGAUGUCACUAAUGAUGACGAGGACUAUGGCAGGAAUGGCGAAAUUGGUGGGCUUCCUCCCACCUCAACUGCAGAUAAGGCCACAGGCGUCGGUGAAAACCAGUUAAUGCUGACUGUCAUCAUUGCAGCCGUGGCAGUUGUGGCUCUUUCCAUCGCAGCAAUAGUCACCAUAUUCCUAGUAAGACGCAAAAUGCACAAUCGGCAGCAAGGGAUCUACUCGGUGCCUACAGAACAGGACCAGAAAGGGGCCGUCUAA